rnacentral:rRNA from 1 species
AGUGGAUGGGGAGCAACCUAGUUGUGCGUGUGUAAAGGUAGUGCCAAGAAAAGCGAUGAUCAUGUUGAAAAUCAAUUCCCGGUACCCGAAACCGACACAGGUGGGCAAGUAGAGAAUACUAAGGGGCGCGAGGUAACUCUCUCCAAGGAACUCGGCAAAAUGACCCCGUAACUUAGGGAGAAGGGGUGCCACCGAGAGGUGGUCGCAGUGAAGAGGCCCAGGCGACUGUUUAGCAAAAACAUAGGUCUCUGCAAACUCGAAAGAGGAGGUAUAGGGGCUGACGCCUGCCCAGUGCCGGAAGGUUAAAGAAGUUGGUCAGUCUUAGGAUGAAGCUAGCGACUGAAGCCCCGGUGAACGGCGGCCGUAACUAUAACGGUCCUAAGGUAGCGAAAUUCCUUGUCGGGUAAGUUCCGACCCGCACGAAAGGCGUAACGAUCUGGGCGCUGUCUCGGAGAGAGGCUCGGCGAAAUAGGAUUGUCUGUGAAGAUACGGACUACCUGCAUUUGGACAGAAAGACCCUAUGAAGCUUUACUAUAGCUUGGAAUUGUGUUCGGGCUUCCUGUGCGCAGGAUAGGUGGGAGGCGUAGAAGGUAUUCUUGUGGGGAUACUGGAGCCAACGGUGAGAUACCACUCUCAGGAGGCUAGAAUUCUAACUUAAUUAAGGACAGUUUCAGGUGGGUAGUUUGACUGGGGCGGUCGCCUCCAAAAAGGUAACGGAGGCGUACAAAGGUUCCCUCAGACUGGUUGGAAAUCAGUCGAAGAGUGCAAAGGCAGAAGGGAGCUUGACUGCGAGAAGUACAGUUCGAGCAGGGUGGAAACACGGUCUUAGUGAUCCGACGGUGCUGUGUGGAAGGGCCGUCGCUCAACGGAUAAAAGUUACUCUAGGAUAACAGGCUGAUCUCCCCCAAGAGUUCACAUCGACGGGGAGGUUUGGCACCUCGAUGUCGGCUCAUCGCAACCUGGGGCGGAAGUACGUCCCAAGGGUUGGGCUGUUCGCCCAUUAAAGCGGUACGUGAGCUGGGUUCAGAACGUCGUGAGACAGUUCGGUCCAUAUCCGAUGUAGGCGUGAGAAUAUUGAGAGGAGCCUUCCUUAGUACGAGAGGACCGGGAAGGACGCACCGCUGGUGUACCUGUUAUGAUGCCAAUUGUAAACGCAGGGUAGCCAAGUGCGGAGAGGAUAACCGCUGAAAGCAUCUAAGUGGGAAGCCCACCUCAAGAUGAGUAUUCUGGUGUAAGGUCACGGGAAGACGACCCGUAAAUAGGCACGAGGUGGAAGUGCAGAGAUGUAUGAAGCCGAAGUGUACUAAUAGACCGUCGGCUUG